UACGAAGGGGGCUAGCGUUGUUCGGAUUUACUGGGCGUAAAGAGCUCGUAGGCGGUUUGUCGCGUCUGCUGUGAAAACUCGGGGCUUAACCCCGGGCCUGCAGUGGGUACGGGCAGACUAGAGUUCGGUAGGGGAGACUGGAAUUCCUGGUGUAGCGGUGAAAUGCGCAGAUAUCAGGAGGAACACCGGUGGCGAAAGCGCUCUGCUAGGCCGCAACUGACACUCAUGGACGAAAGCUAGGGGAGCGAAUGGG
rnacentral:rRNA from 1 species